ACGGAGGGUGCAAGCGUUGUUCGGAAUUAUUGGGCGUAAAGGGCGCGUAGGCGGUAGCGUUAGUCAGAUGUGAAAUCCUUCGGCUUAACUGAAGAACUGCAUUUGAUACUGCGCAACUAGAGUACUGGAGAGGGAAAUGGAAUUCCCGGUGUAGGAGUGAAGGUCGUGGUAAUCGGGAGGAAGAGCAGAGGCGAAGGCGAUAUCCUGGACAGGUACCCACGCUACGGCGUGAAAGCGUGAAAAGCAAGUAG
rnacentral:rRNA from 1 species